ACUUAAAUUGAAGAGUUUGAUCAUGGCUCAGAUUGAACGCUGGCGGCAGGCCUAACACAUGCAAGUCGAGCGGUAGCACAGAGAGCUUGCUCUCGGGUGACGAGCGGCGGACGGGUGAGUAAUGUCUGGGAAACUGCCUGAUGGAGGGGGAUAACUACUGGAAACGGUAGCUAAUACCGCAUAACGUCGCAAGACCAAAGUGGGGGACCUUCGGGCCUCAUGCCAUCAGAUGUGCCCAGAUGGGAUUAGCUAGUAGGUGGGGUAACGGCUCACCUAGGCGACGAUCCCUAGCUGGUCUGAGAGGAUGACCAGCCACACUGGAACUGAGACACGGUCCAGACUCCUACGGGAGGCAGCAGUGG
rnacentral:rRNA from 1 species